AGUGAACGCUGGCGGUAGGCCUAACACAUGCAAGUCGAACGGCAGCACAGUAAGAGCUUGCUCUUACGGGUGGCGAGUGGCGGACGGGUGAGGAAUACAUCGGAAUCUACUUUUUCGUGGGGGAUAACGUAGGGAAACUUACGCUAAUACCGCAUACGACCUACGGGUGAAAGCAGGGGAUCUUCGGACCUUGCGCGAUUGAAUGAGCCGAUGUCGGAUUAGCUAGUUGGCGGGGUAAAGGCCCACCAAGGCGACGAUCCGUAGCUGGUCUGAGAGGAUGAUCAGCCACACUGGAACUGAGACACGGUCCAGACUCCUACGGGAGGCAGCAGUGGGGAAUAUUGGACAAUGGGCGCAAGCCUGAUCCAGCCAUACCGCGUGGGUGAAGAAGGCCUUCGGGUUGUAAAGCCCUUUUGUUGGGAAAGAAAAGCAGCAGGUUAAUACCCCGCUGUCCUGACGGUACCCAAAGAAUAAGCACCGGCUAACCUCGUG
rnacentral:rRNA from 1 species